UACGUAGGCAGCAAGCGUUGUUCGGAGUUACUGGGCGUAAAGGAUGCGUAGGCGGCUUUUUAAGUUUGGUGUGAAAUCUCCCGGCUCAACUGGGAGGGUGCGCCGAAUACUGAGAGGCUAGAGUGUGGGAGAGGAAAGUGGAAUUCCUGGUGUAGCGGUGAAAUGCGUAGAUAUCAGGAGGAACACCGGUGGUGUAAACGGCUUUCUGGACCAUAACUGACGCUGAGGCACGAAAGCGUGGGUAGCAAACAGG
rnacentral:rRNA from 1 species